AAACACUUAAAUAAGCCUGAAAUAAUAAGCCUGGCAUAAAAAUAUGUCUGAAACCAGAGAAACAGUUCUUUUUAGGGUGGUUAAACAGACAUUUUCAUAUCAAUGUCCUUUUUCAGUUCAUUCCCUAAUUUUCUGUUUGGUCUUCUGCAGAUCUGAAUUACAAUAAGAUGCCUCUACCUACAUCUUCCAUCAUGGCUGGCUGUCUACUCUCUUCGAAGGAGCAGAUGCUAGUCUGGGCUGAGAUCAUCCGCCAAAAGAUUGCUUUGGCUGUUUUCUAAACCAGUGUGAUGCCUCAGGUGCAGGAGAGAGAGACAAUAAUUAACAAUGUGGCCUACAGCAUCUUGGGGAACAAUUAAUUUUAGUGAAUGGACAAGGGGAAGAAGUGGGAAGGCUAUGACAGCAAGGAGGACUACAGAGUCUUUCAGGACGUAAAGGCUGUCAUUUGUGCAUCCGAGAAAGGACUGUACUGGAAAGGUAGAAGUGUUUUUAAUAAGGAAAUUACAUGCUGGGAAAGAAUGGGAACUCCUCUGGAAUGUGCGGAGUGGAUUAUGUUAAUAUCUGCACAUCAACUUUGCCCUCUUGAUUCACUUCAUGCUGCAUCAAUUAUACUGUAACUUUUCAAACUGCUGUCUCUAAGUAGCAUUGUUAACUAUAGCCAAAGGUUGGGAAAAGAUCAUCCUUUUAAAAUUUGAUUGCUUGCUCACCAGGAAAGCAACAAGAAGGGGAAGAAACGUAUUACUAGG
rnacentral:lncRNA from 1 species